rnacentral:lncRNA from 1 species
AUCCGUCUUACCCCGCGUCUAGAGAGAGCAUCCCGUCUACCGCGUCUAGAAGAGCAUCCCGUACCGCGUUCUAGAGAGAGCAUCCCGUCUACCGCGUCUAGAGAGCAUCCCGUCUACCGCGUCUAUAGAGAGAGCAUCCCGUCUACCGCGUCUAUAGAGAGAGCAUCCCGUCUAGAGAGAGCAUCCCGUCUACCGCUUCUAGAGAGAGCAUCCCGUCUACCGAGUCUAGAGAGAGCAUCCGCUCUACCGCGUCAAGAGAGCAUAGCAUCCGUCUACCGCGUCUAGAGAGCAUCCGUCUA